AUAUCACAUAAAUCACCUCAUAUAAGAGAAUUAAUUCCCCUUUGAUCUCCAUGAAUCACAAAGCAUUAUUCUUAGCUUGUUUUGUCAUAAUCCUCUGUCUAUCUUCAACAGCCUCUAGGAGAUUGCCAGGUUAUAGAUGCGGUGGCUAUAAAUUUGGAGAAGAAUCGUGUCCACCACGUAGAUCACUCUUUGUAGUUCAUAUGAGACCAGUAAUUGCACCUGGAAAGCCAAUAUCACCACCUGAUAA